UACGGGGGUGGCAAGCGUUACUCGGAAUCAUUGGGUGUAAAGGGCAAGUAGGCGGCUUAUUAAGUGAGGGGUGAAAUCUUCCGACUCAAUCGGAAAACUGCCUUUCAAACUAAUAAGCUUGAGAAUGGGAGAGGGAAAUGGAAUUAGCAGUGUAAGGGUGAAAUCUGUAGAUAUUGCUAAGAACACCGGCGGCGAAGGCGAUUUCCUGGUCCAUUUCUGACGCUAAAUUGCGAAAGCUAGGGGAGCAAACAGAAUUAGAUACUCUGGUAGUCCCAGCCGUAAACGAUGAGUACUAGGUGUUGGUCUUAUGAUCAGUGCCGCAGCUAACGCAUUAAGUACUCCACCUGGGGACUACGGCCGCAAGGCUAAAACUCAAAGGAAUUGACGGGGACCCGCACAAGCGGUGGAACAUGUGGUUUAAUUCGAUGCUACGCGAAGAACCUCACCAGGGCUUGACAUACAAGAAGUAGUGAACCGAAAGGGGAACGAACCGUUAAGCCGGAAACUUGAACAGGUGCUGCAUGGCUGUCGUCAGCUCGUGUCGUGAGAUGUUGGGUUAAGUCCCGCAACGAGCGCAACCAUUGCCUUAUGUUGCUACCCUCCAUUUUUGCUUUCGCAAGAAAGCUAUGGGGGCGCACUCUUAAGGGACUGCCUGGGAUAACCAGGAGGAAGGCGGAGAUGACGUCAAGUCAGUACGGCCUUUAUGCCCUGGGCUACACACGUGUUACAAUGGCCGAUACAAAGGGUUGCCAACCCGCGAGGGGGAGCCAAUCUCAAAAAAUCGGCCUCAGUUCGGAUUGGAGUCUGCAAUUCGACUCCAUGAAGCUGGAAUCGCUAGUAAUGGAAGAUCAGCUCGCUUCCGUGAAUACGUUCCCGGGUCU
rnacentral:rRNA from 1 species